UACAGAGGUCUCAAGCGUUGUUCGGAUUCAUUGGGCGUAAAGGGUGCGUAGGUGGCGCGCUAAGUCGGGUGUGAAAUCUCGGGGCUUAACUCCGAAACUGCAUUCGAUACUGCGGUGCUUGAGGACUGGAGAGGAGACUGGAAUUCAUGGUGUAGCAGUGAAAUGCGUAGAGAUCAUGAGGAAGACCAGUGGCGAAGGCGGGUCUCUGGACAGUUCCUGACACUGAGACACGAAGGCCAGGGGAGCAAACGGG
rnacentral:rRNA from 1 species